rnacentral:lncRNA from 1 species
CUAUAUAAGAAAACCAGUGACAAGAACAAAAACUCAGUAAAUUUGCAGUAAAGCCACACGAAAAUCCUAUAGCCUUCAAGGCUUCUACAGCUAAUAAUCUCACCACUGUUCAUAAAAAUAAAAAGAAGAAGAAAUAACUAAAUAUAGAAAAUGUGUAUUUUCCUUUUUCGGGGCACCAAAUGGGACGACGGACUUCCACCACCACCGAAAUUUCAACUCUAACUAGUCGGAAUUCAACUUUCGACACUGAUUUUUAAAAGCUUUUCUUUCUGAGUUUUUGGUUAUGUGAGGUUAGAAGCACACGCCUCCAAAACCUCUAAAUUUUUUCCCAAAAGUCCCCCCUCCCUUUCUCUCUACAUAGAGGAUUUUGGGAUUGUUUUAAGGGGAAAUUGGAAGGGUAAAAAUGAAAAACAAGUUAUAAAUUUGAAUUACAAUUUGGGAUGAGCUGUAGUUGUUGACUUGUUCAUUGGUGUGGGGUCGCUGUUGUUGGGAACGGGUUGCCAAGUCGGGUUAAAAUUUGGUUGACAUUGUUGAGUUGUUGUAGCUGAGGCCGUUGUUCGCUGAUAUUGUUGUUGGUGAAGUUGUGGCUUUGAUGUUGAUACUGUCUUUGAAGGUUGUCGCUGUUAUGUUUUGCGUUGAAAUUGUUGUUUUUGCUGAAGUUAUCGGGCAAGGAGAAUGAGUUAAUAAAGAAAAAGGGUGUCUGGGUCGGGUC